rnacentral:lncRNA from 1 species
AAAUUUUACUCUGGGCCGAGCUGGAGGCGGCCUGCAAUGUAUGAUCUGGUGAUUCCGAAUGUUGAUGCGUCUUCCUAAGCUCCGACGGUGGCGAUCCGGUGAAGAUGAACUUAAACCGCCUGACAUUGUUUCUGCUGCGGUAAUUAUCGGUUUACUAGCACAGUUGAACCUAUUUAAGGAUGGCUCUUUGUGAAUAGCAGUUGAUUGCAUUACAAGGUAUCUUUACUACCUACCAGGUGCAUGAACCUGCUUUGGUUGUUCUGUGAAGGCUAAAGUUGUAUAAUAAUAUCUGGGCAUGUUUCCUAAUGCUAAGUUGAAGACAGACAGGCCUAAUUUCCUAGCAAGGCGAGGCAAUCGCGCCUUAAGUCGAGGCAAUUGCGCUUUAGUUUUCCAGGUGAUGGUUCAUGCGCAUAUUCGAGCGAGAUUCCUAGAUUCAAGUGAGUAUUCUUUAAAUUAUGGCAAGAUUCCAACGAGAUUUCUACUUUUAUCUAACGAAAA